rnacentral:rRNA from 1 species
UCCUACGGGGGGCAGCAGUGGGGAAUAUUGGGCAAUGGGCGCAAGCCUGACCCAGCAACGCCGCGUGAAGGAAGAAGGCUUUCGGGUUGUAAACUUCUUUUGUCAGGGACGAAGCGAGUGACGGUACCUGACGAAUAAGCCACGGCUAACUACGUGCCAGCAGCCGCGGUAAUACGUAGGUGGCAAGCGUUAUCCGGAUUUAUUGGGUGUAAAGGGCGUGUAGGCGGGAAUGCAAGUCAGAUGUGAAAACUAAGGGCUCAACCCAUAGCCUGCAUUUGAAACUGUAUUUCUUGAGUGCUGGAGAG